GCGCGCGCUGUGACGUUCCCUACGCGGUCGGGCGUUGGGUUUCGCGGCGCUCGCCGCACUGGUUGUUCAGCACCUUCGGUCCGGUUGAGGUUGUCAAGUCGGACCAAACAGGUUGUUUCUCUGCAGUUUCCAACAUGGCAGGGAGGUUUAAUAGACAUGGAUAAGAAGUCCACUCACAGAAAUCCUGAAGAUGCCAGGGCUGGCAAAUAUGAAGGUAAACACAAACGAAAGAAAAGAAGAAAGCAAAACCAAAACCAGCACCGAUCCCGACAUAGAUCAGUGACGUCUUUUUCUUCAGAUGAUCCUAUGUUUCCUUCUUCCUCAUCAUCGUCUUCAGGAAGCCAGACAGAUUCAAGUAUUGAAGAUGCUGCCAAGGGAAAAAUUAAGAAGAAGAGAAGAGAGAAAACAAAUAAAUGGGAAAAAAGAAAGGCUGCACAAGAAUGGCGCCAGUAUCUGCUUCUGGCAAGAGACUGAGGCUGCUUCCACUCAUGGCAGAAGGUGAAGGGGCGCCUGCAACUGCAGAUCUCAUGGUGAGAGAGAAGGCAAGAGAGAGAGGAAGAGGUACCAGGCUCUUUCAACAACCAGUUCUAGGACAAAAUAUGAAACACCAAGAAAAAGAGAAGGAAAAAAAGGAGGAAACAACCACAUAUGUCACCUUUCCAAGAGGGACUGAAACUGGGCUGACCCUUUUGAUUUCCAAGCUCAGCGUUUUGGUGUAAGGCGGCCAAAGAAGGAUGCGGAGCCCAGCACUGUGAAGCCUACAAAAACAUUGAUGCGCUGGCUUGGGGAUUUGAAUUUGAACAUCUUUCACACUAAGUUCAGACUCAUGAAACCAAUCUUCAGAUGCUCUGUAAACCACAUAAUAAAGAGUUUGGAAAUUA
ensembl:lncRNA LINC00467 long intergenic non-protein coding RNA 467